rnacentral:rRNA from 1 species
UACGGGGGGAGCAAGCGUUGUUCGGAUUUACUGGGCGUAAAGGGCGCGUAGGCGGCGUGACAAGUCACUUGUGAAAUCUCCGGGCUUAACUCGGAACGGUCAAGUGAUACUGUCGUGCUAGAGUACAGAAGGGGCAACUGGAAUUCUCGGUGUAGCGGUGAAAUGCGUAGAUAUCGAGAGGAACACCUGCGGCGAAGGCGGGUUGCUGGGCCGACACUGACGCUGAGGCGCGAAAGCCAGGGUAGCAAACGGG